rnacentral:snRNA from 1 species
AUACCAUUUUGGGCCUUUUGGAUAAGAUCAAGUGUAGUAUCUGUUCUUAUAAGUUUAAUAUCUGAUAACCCGAACCUACGGAUUCAGUGGCAAGCUUAUAGGUUUUACCUAUAUGGUUGCCUUGAUUCAGGGGCAAGCUUAUAGGUUUUACCUAUAUGGUUGCCUUGAUAUUAAUUUUUUUAUAGGGAAAGGCCCUUGAUA